rnacentral:rRNA from 1 species
AUUGAACGCUGGCGGCAGGCCUAACACAUGCAAGUCGAACGAGUGGCGGACGGGUGAGUAAUUUCUGGGAAACUGCCUGAUGGAGGGGGAUAACUACUGGAAACGGUAGCUAAUACCGCAUACCAUCAGAUGUGCCCAGAUGGGAUUAGCUUGUUGGUGGGGUAACGGCUCACAAAGGCGACGAUCCCUAGCUGGUCUGAGAGGAUGACCGGCCACACUGGAACUGAGACACGGCCCAGACUCCUACGGGAGGCAGCAGUGGGGAAUAUUGCACAAUGGGCGCAAGCCUGAUGCAGCAAUGCCGCGUGUAUGAAGAAGGCUUUCGGGUUGUAAAGUACUGUCAUCGGGGAGGCGUUACCCGCAGAAGAAGCACCGGCUAACUCCGUGCCAGCCGCCGCGGUAAUUC